ACACAUCCUUAUUUUAUAAAAAUGGCAACAUUACAAUCUGUCAUUAUGACGUUUGACAUUUAAAAUGGUUAACUUGACAUUGACAGAAAAAUAUAACCUCUCUAUAUCUUACACACAUAUUUAAAGAAUUUAAAGAAAAUGUUUACUAAAACAUGUUACAAAUAUCCAAGUAGUACAAAACAUGCUAAAUUAACAACAAAUACAAACAAUGUUUGAACAUCUUAUAAUCUACGUUUCGUACAAACCAAGUGUUUCACAAAAAUAGUUAUGUUUAACUUGAGACAAUGAUUUGAUAGAGCUGCUGCAAUAUAUUCGGAUUCUGCUGUUGACAAUGCGACUGAAGUCUGCUUCUUGGAAGUCCAGCUGACCAGGCUGCCUCGAUGAAAUAUUGCAACUCCACUGACGCUCUUACGAUCCA